GGGGAGAGAAAGAGGGGAUGGAGUUGGCCAUUGUCGCUGUGCCAUCCAGGGGCACACAGUGCAUGGACGAGAUCACAGGGUGUUAAAUGCCACAGUGGAAUCGGGGACAAAAGGCUGCCUGAAGAGAUAAUAUGUGCUUACAAUGAUUUGCCGAGUCCCAGUGGAGCAGGAAGCAAGCGGGGCACUAUCCAAACAGAAUAUAAAAUGGACGCUAAAGCCGGGCAUCGCGAGCGCACGCCUCAGAAAGGCGCACGCCUUAGGAAGGUGGCACACACCUUUCUAGUCCCACUUUACUCUGUUCCCUUGCUGCCCCCCUGCCAUCCUGGAAUUGUUUGUGUUUCUCAGAAACACCAUGCUUGGGGGAGGGAGGGACAGCUCAGUAAUUAAGAGUUCCUGCUGCUCUUCCAGAGGACCCAAGUUCAAUAGCCAACACCAAUAUGGUCUAUAACUCUACUUGCAGAGGGAUCCACCACCCUCUUCUAGCCUCUAUAGGCACUACAUAUACAUACAUGGUGUACGGACAUACAUGCAGGCAAAAAGAAAAAAAGCAUUCAUGCACAUAAAAUAAAUAUAAAUCUUUAAAACCAG
rnacentral:lncRNA from 1 species